AGCGAACGCUGGCGGCAGGCCUAACACAUGCAAGUCGCGCGCCCCGCAAGGGAAGCGGCAGACGGGAGAGUAACACGUGGGAACGUGCCCUUUGGUUCGGAACAACCCAGGGAAACUUGGGCUAAUACCGGAUAAGCCCUAACGGGGAAAGAUUUAUCGCCGAAGGAUCGGCCCGCGUCUGAUUAGCUAGUUGGUGGGGUAAUGGCCCACCAAGGCGACGAUCAGUAGCUGGUCUGAGAGGAUGAUCAGCCUCACUGGGACUGAGACACGGCCCAGACUCCUACGGGAGGCAGCAGUGGGGAAUAUUGGACAAUGGGCGCAAGCCUGAUCCAGCCAUGCCGCGUGGGUGAUGAAGGCCCUAGGGUUGUAAAGCCCUUUCGGCGGGGAAGAUAAUGACGGUACCCGCAGAAGAAGCCCCGGCUAACUUCGUGCCAGCCGCCGCAGUAACAC
rnacentral:rRNA from 1 species